GAAAGCUUGGAGAAAGACCCGAUCUGCGCAAACUCAAACACCGAAGGGAGGAAGCAUCUUGAUUUGGGCUUGCGUUUCUUCUUCUGUGUUGAUCUUUUUCAGGAAACCAACUCAUCCCUGACUGGAACAACAGAGUCGUCCCCCAGCUUCCACGUUCAGCAUAACAUCCGGAUUGUUUCGGGAGCAGCGCUGCUCCCAACAGAAGCCAGGCAGGUCGGAGCAAGUUUGUGGCGAGCCGCCGAACGACCACAGGAGGGAUGAAGACUUUUCGACUUUGCCACGUGGGCCGCUGCAGAUUUCAGCUGCAGAUCUGGGAGCGGGAACCUUUUUUUCUUGGGUUGGCGUUUAUCUCAGCUGAUAAUAAACUUGCUUCGCUGUGGGCGAGCUCCUUCACAAUCACAGAGAGUCGACUCGGGUGUGGUGUGAAAUGACGUGAAACGAGACAGAAGUGACAAAAAAAUCCUGAAAUUAAUAUUCUGUAGAGCCUGCACAGAGCGUAGCUCAGCAAUUCAUCUACAAAA